GUUAUUUUUUUCAAAGUGUUAUUUUAAAAAAGAAUUUUAAAGGGCUCUUGAUAUGAGAAAAAAUCAUUUUUGGAUGUGUCUUUAUGGAAGAUUUCUCACUCCGAAGUUCUGUAGCUCUGGAUUGCCGUGGGUGAUUUUGCUGCCUGCUGAAUGAAAUGGGUACUAGAGUGCAGACAUAUGCGAGAAAGGGAAACUGAUGCACCUAAGUGAGAGAUUCUGUCUUGGCCCAAUCAUCCAGUGAACCUGAAGAACAAAAGCUGACUCAUUUUCACUCACCACUGAUAAAAAAUGAUCUCGUAGGCUGACAUCUACUACACACCUUACCAUCUUUCCUCAUCUAGAUUGUUGCUGUAUGUUCUGCUGAGAAAAUCCUUCUUGCAAAUCAUCAUCUCAAACCUGAAGCACUAUUCAUCAGCUUAACACAGUUGGCAUGUUCAGGAAUGUUCCUUGCCACAAAAAUCUAUGAGAAAUGUCACCCUUCUUAACAUAAUAUGUCUAACAUCUACCUAUCAUAUUGCUUUGGUGGGUAUUCUAUCAAAAUUUCCUUUUGUGUAUUAACAUUCUACUUGAAUCUACACCCUACUAGGGAAACAUUGCUACUUUGUCACCAGCAAUUUCUUUGUCACAUGAUAUCAAUCCUCUGUUUCUUCUUUAGCCAAAAUGAACUUUUUGAUAGGGUAGAAUACAGAGCUGUAUCCUAGGAUGUUUAGAGUCCAGCAUCUCCCGUGUUUUUAUUAAAUACUGUGUCAAAUGAAAUGUAAAAUGAAAAGAGGAUUAAAUUUCUAACAAUUCUGAAAACAGCAUGCAGUUAUACAGGAAUCAACCCACCACUCCCUUCAGUUUGCCUCUUUCACACAUUACUAUUUUAUGGCUGCAGUGUCAAUAGGAUGAAGGCCUAGUGUUCCCUAUCUCAGAAAAAAGGAAAUUUAAACAUGGAUAAAUUGAAUGACCUCUCUAAGAUCAGAGUGCAUGCUGGCAGCCAGAAAAUUGUGAAUAAACUACAAGAUACAAAAAAAGUCUUUAAAAAGUUAUGAUUAUUCAAAGUACAAAAAGUAACAAAAGAGAGUUAAUUUAUUAGGCCACCCUAAAGCAUCAUCAACAACCCACUGUAACUGAAGUAAUUGAGAGAUGGGAACAAAAUACCUUUCAUCUCUAAGUUAGAGAAGAAAACGAGACUAUGUAAUAAAGGGAUAUGGAUGAUCUAUUCAACAACUUUAUUCUUAUUAUUUAACUUAUGGGGAAUGUGUUAGCAUUUAGCACCUGAGAAGCUUUAGGACUCAUUCUCGUGAUUGUCAAACUGACCUUUCUAGUUGUAAAGCUUCAAAUCUGCAAAUCUUUCUGUUUUAUGUACACCUCUCUCUUUUCAUACAGUGGAUUUUCAAUGAAAAUUUACAGAAACUGUAUUACAAUAUACGUGUAAAGCUUUUCUACCAAAUAAAUCCUGCUGGAAACAGCUAUUGGGUAUUUCUCAUGUGACUUUAGUCUAAGCAACAAAUUGUGCUUCAUGGCAGGAUAGUGUAAGCAAGGUUGGGGGAAUCAUCAUCCUAGUAUAUUUAUGUUUUAAUAGUCAAAUAUUUAGAAAAAGUUAAUAUUAUACAUAGAAGGGGUAUGAAGUUGAGAUAAAAUUUUUGGAAAUUAUUUUGGUGAAUAGAAUAAGAGAAGAAAGUGAAACUUACACUGAUAAAAGUUGAUAUAAGAGUAGACUAUUUUCUUACAUGACAUAAAUAAAUAUAUUUCAGUGG
rnacentral:lncRNA from 1 species